CCUACGUGCGGCAGCAGUGGGGAAUAUUGGACAAUGGGCGAAAGCCUGAUCCAGCCAUGCCGCGUGUGUGAAGAAGGCCUUCGGGUUGUAAAGCACUUUCAGUGGGGAAGAAAGCCUUGGGGCUAAUACCCUCGAGGAAGGACAUCACCCACAGAAGAAGCACCGGCUAACUCCGUGCCAGCAGCCGCGGUAAUACGGAGGGUGCGAGCGUUAAUCGGAAUUACUGGGCGUAAAGCGCGCGUAGGCGGUCUGAUAAGCCGGUUGUGAAAGCCCCGGGCUCAACCUGGGAACGGCAUCCGGAACUGUCAGGCUAGAGUGCAGGAGAGGAAGGUAGAAUUCCCGGUGUAGCGGUGAAAUGCGUAGAGAUCAGGAGGAAUACCAGUGGCGAAGGCGGCCUUCUGGACUGACACUGACGCUGAGGUGCGAAAGCGUGGGUAGCAAACAGGAUUAGAUACCCUUGUAGUC
rnacentral:rRNA from 1 species